UGGACGAACGCUGGCGGCGUGCCUAAUACAUGCAAGUCGAGCGAAUCUGAGGGAGCUUGCUUCCAAAGAUUAGCGGCGGACGGGUGAGUAACACGUGGGCAACCUGCCUGUAAGACUGGGAUAACUCCGGGAAACCGGGGCUAAUACCGGAUAAUUCAUUCUCUCACAUGAGGAAAUGCUGAAAGACGGUUUCGGCUGUCACUUACAGAUGGGCCCGCGGCGCAUUAGCUAGUUGGUGAGGUAACGGCUCACCAAGGCCACGAUGCGUAGCCGACCUGAGAGGGUGAUCGGCCACACUGGGACUGAGACACGGCCCAGACUCCUACGGGAGGCAGCAGUAGGGAAUCUUCCGCAAUGGACGAAAGUCUGACGGAGCAACGCCGCGUGAGCGAUGAAGGCCUUCGGGUCGUAAAGCUCUGUUGUUAGGGAAGAACAAGUAUCGGAGUAACUGCCGGUACCUUGACGGUACCUAACCAGAAAGCCACGCUAACUACGUGCCAGCAGCCGCGUAAUACU
rnacentral:rRNA from 1 species